CAAAUAACAAACAGCAACAAAAACAUACCCUGGGAUGGGGGAAAAUCUGAUUUCCAAAGUUGACACACUGUAUUUUUUUAAUGUCCAGUUUUGAGCAAAAAGUUAUUAAACAUGCAAAAAAUAAAUAAAAACCAAAAAAGUAUGGCCCAUACACAAGGAGAAAAAAUCAACAGAAAUCCCAUUUGUCUAGAAUGUUCAGAAAAUGAAAAUCCAUAGAAAGAAUAUAGAUUAGUUGUUGCCAGCAACUUGGGGUGGAAGGAGAAAGAAUGGAUAA
rnacentral:lncRNA from 1 species